GACGAACGCUGGCGGCGUGCUUAACACAUGCAAGUCGAGCGGUAAGGCCCUUUCGGGGGUACACGAGCGGCGAACGGGUGAGUAACACGUGGGUGACCUGCCCUCAGCUCUGGGAUAAGCCUGGGAAACCGGGUCUAAUACCGGAUAUGACUCCAUGACGCAUGUUGUGGGGUGGAAAGCCUUGUGCGGCUGAGGAUGGGCCCGCGGCCUAUCAGCUUGUUGGUGGGGNGAUGGCCUACCAAGGCGACGACGGGUAGCCGGCCUGAGAGGGCGACCGGCCACACUGGGACUGAGACACGGCCCAGACUCCUACGGGAGGCAGCAGUGGGGAAUCUUGCGCAAUGGGCGAAAGCCUGACGCAGCGACGCCGCGUGAGGGAUGAC
rnacentral:rRNA from 1 species